rnacentral:rRNA from 1 species
UACGAAGGGAGCUAGCGUUGUUCGGAGUCACUGGGCGUAAAGCGCACGUAGGCGGAUGUGUCAGUCAGGGGUGAAAUCCCGGAGCUCAACUUCGGAACUGCCUUUGAUACAGCACGUCUUGAGUCCGAUAGAGGUGGGUGGAAUUCCUAGUGUAGAGGUGAAAUUCGUAGAUAUUAGGAAGAACACCGGUGGCGAAGGCGGCCCACUGGAUCGGUACUGACGCUGAGGUGCGAAAGCGUGGGGAGCGAACAGG